AUGGCUGCUGAGGGCGAGCCUGAAUGGUGCAAACCGAAGGGGAAGGUUGUGUGGAGACAUAGACAGAUGUAAAGAAGACUGUGUCUCUGGGCCUGUUAAGACCACAGUUCCCUUCAGUCCGAAACGCAUCUUGGUGACUGAGCAGAUUCCUUCUCAGAACCUAGGAUCUGCUAGCAGUGGAAAGGCCCAAGGGGUUCUGUGUCCUUCCAACUCCCAGCAUGUCCCUUCACAAGCCCAGAAACUUGUAGCAGGUCACAAGCCAGUGCUAAAGCAGUUGCCAGCUGCCAGUGUUCCUCAACCAGUGUCCCGGCUCAAUAAACCCCAGAGUGAGCAACCUGCAGCCUCGGGAAAUAAUUCUGAAAAGGAGCGGGCAUCCCAUACAGAAGACUGAAGACACACAAAAAAGGCCAUGGACUUUGGAAGAUUUUGACAUUGGCCGCCCACUAGAAAAAUGGAAGUUUGGAAAUGUCUAUUUGGCGAGGGAGAAGCAAAGCAAGUGCAUCCUGCCUCUGAAGGUGCUGUUUAAAAUACAGCUGGAGAAGGCCUGUGUGGAGCACCAGCUUCGAAGUGGAGAUCCAGUCGCACCUGCGUCACUCCAGCAUCCUCAGGCUGUAUGGAUUGUUUCCAUGACACCACCCAAGUUUAUCUGAUUCUAGAAUACGCACCCCUUGGAACCGCUUCAAAAGCUCUCUAAGUUUGGCGAGCAGAGAACGGCUACUUAUGUCACUGAGUUGGCAAACGCUCUGCUUUACUGUCAUUCAAAGAGAGUGAUCCACAGAGACAUUAAGCCAGGGAACUUGCUGCUUGGCUCAAACGGAGAGUUGACGAUAGCAGACUUCAGAUGGUCUGUACACAUUCCGUCUUCCAGGAGAACCACACUGUGUGGCACCCUGGACUACCUGCCUCUGGAAAUGAUUAAAGGCUGGUUGCAUGAUAAGAAGGUGGACCUCUGGAUCCAAGGCAUUCUCUGCUAAGAGCUCCUAGUGGGGAUUCCCACUUUCGAGACACACACUUACCAGGAGACCUACAGAAGGAUAUCAUGGAUUGAAUUCACAUUCCCUGACUUUGUGACGGAGGGAGUCAGGGACCUCAUUUCAAGACUGUUAAAACACAAUUCAAGUCAAAGGCUAACACUAGCAGAAGUCCUUGAGCUUCCUUGGAUCAAAGCUAACUCCUCCAAACCUCCAACUGGCAAAUCAUCUUAGGGAAUCCUGAGCCAGGAACACCGUGCAACUGUGAGAAAUACCCCAUUGAAGCCGCCCACCCAGACCAUCAUGGCUGCCCUCAAGAGUGCCUUGCUGAGGAACUAGUCCUUGGCCUGGCAUCUAGGAAAUCCCACCUGUUACCCAGCCCCCAAGAACCAUGCUGCUCUUCUUGGUUUAGUAAUCUGGAGGGAAGGUUCCACUGAAGCUUCCCCCAUCUCCUUGCCUAUGCCCCAAGGUGUCCUACUGGAUGUCUCACUGUAGGAAAGUUACCAGUGAUCACCUGCAU